rnacentral:misc_RNA from 1 species
GUGGGAGGGGGCUUGCCCCCGAUAGCGGUGUGUCAGUCAGCAGAUGUAUUACUGAAAGACUGCUAUCGGGGGCAAGCCCCCUCCCAC